rnacentral:rRNA from 1 species
UACGGAGGGAGCUAGCGUUGUUCGGAAUUACUGGGCGUAAAGCGCACGUAGGCGGCUUUGUAAGUUAGAGGUGAAAGCCCGGGGCUCAACCCCGGAAUUGCCUUUAAGACUGCAUCGCUUGAAUCCAGGAGAGGUGAGUGGAAUUCCGAGUGUAGAGGUGAAAUUCGUAGAUAUUCGGAAGAACACCAGUGGCGAAGGCGGCUCACUGGACUGGUAUUGACGCUGAGG